CAAUACAAUACGUCUGAUAACGGAUGUGUGAAGGUCAUCUCCCCACACACCCAGCAAUUCUGCAGUGGGCAUUAGGGGUCCUCUAAUUCAAUUCCAUUCUGAUAUCGUCUACCUGGAGACAGGCUGAGGGCCCAGUCCCACAAGACUGCCCUCCACUUUUAGAUGCCAAUAGUGAGUAGUACUUGAGAAACUUUAGAUGCCAGUAAGUGAGUAUUCUUGAGAAACUGGCUCUAAAUCAGGGUUCCCAUAACUUCCUCCUUGGGUUUUAUUAAUUUGCUAGAGCAGCUCACAGAACUCAGGGAAACACUUUACUUACAUUUACUUGUUUAUUAAUAAAGGAUACAGACAAACAACCAGAUGGAGGCGAUACUUAGGGCAAGGAAUGGGAGAAGGGGCACGGAGCUUCCAUGAUCUUGCUGGGCAUGCCUCCCUCCAGGAAUCUCCAUGUGGCCAGCUAUCUGGAAGCUCCCAGAAUGCUGUGCUUUUGGAGUUUUAUGGAUGCUGCAUUACAUAGGCAUGAUUGACUAAAUAAUUGAUCAUUGAUCAUUAGUUGAUAACUUAGUUAUCAACUCCUUGGGGUUUGGGGCUGAGAGUCUCAGUCCUCUAACCAUGCCUUGAUCUUUCUGUUGACCAGCCCCUGUCCUGAAGCUGUCCAGGGGUCCCCAGCCACCAGUCGUCUCAUUAGCAUACAAAAGACACUCUUAUCACUCCAGAGAUUCUAAGGGUUUUAGGAGCUGCACAUCAGAACAUGGGGAAGAAAACCAAACAUGUAUUUCACUAUAUCACAGGUGCCAAGACAAUUUAAUGGGGGAAAGAUCAGUAUUUUCAAGAAAUGGUGCUGGAACAACUGGUAGCCAAAUGCAAGAGAAUAAAGUUGAACACUUACCGCUAUGUACAAAAUUAACUUAAAAUGGAUCAAAGACCUAAGUAGAAGAAUUAAAACUAUACAACUCUAGGCUGGGUGUGGUGGCUCACGCCUGUAAUCCCAGCACUUUGGGAGGCCGAGGCAGGUGGAUUAUUUGAGGUCAGGAGUUCGAGACCAGCCUGGCCAACAUGGUGAAACCCCAUCUCUACUAAAAAUACAAAAAUUAGCUGGGCAGUAGUGGUGCAUGCCUGUAGUCCCAGCUACUCGGGAGGCUGAGGCAGGAGAAUCGCUUGAACCCGGGAGGAGGAGGUUGCAGUGAGCCGAGAUUGCGGAUCGUGCCACUGCACUCCAGCCUGGGCAACAGAGUGAGACUCUGUCUCAGAAAAAAAAAAAAAAAAUAGAAAACUGAGGCUCAGAGAGGUGAGAUCAUUUGGCCAAGGUAAUACAGCUGGGAAGUGGUGGGGCUGGGUCCUGGCCCAGUUCUGGCUAUCCCCUGAACUCUCCUCCUUCUACCCAGAGGGCCUCUGAAACAGCAUAGUAGACCACAUCAAAGUGUGAUAGAUUCAUACAAUGGAAUAUUAUUCAUUGAUAAAAAGGAAUGAAGUACUGGCACCAUCUACAACAUGCAUAAACCUUGAAAUAUUAUGCAAAAUGAAAUAAGCCAGUCCCAAAGACUACAUACUAUACAAUUCUAUUCUCAUGAAAGUAAAGAAUAAGGAAGUCUAUAGAGACAGAAAGUAGAUUAGUGGUUGCUUUAGGCUGGGGAGGGGUUAGGGGAUGGGGUUUCUAAAAUUGACGGUAGCGGUGAUUGCAUAACUCUGUAAAUAAACUAAAAACCACAUUGAGUACACUACAUGUGUAAAUUUUAUGGUACCCAAGUAUCUCAACAAAGCUGUCAAAA
rnacentral:lncRNA from 1 species